rnacentral:rRNA from 1 species
AUUGAACGCUGGCGGCAUGCUUUACACAUGCAAGUCGAACGGUAACAGGGAGCUUGCUCCGCUGACGAGUGGCGAACGGGUGAGUAAUGCGUCGGAACGUGCCGAGUAGUGGGGGAUAACGCAUCGAAAGGUGUGCUAAUACCGCAUUCGUACUGAGGUAGAAAGUGGGGGACCUUCGGGCCUCACGCUAUUCGAGCGGCCGACGUCUGAUUAGCUAGUUGGUGAGGUAAAGGCUCACCAAGGCGACGAUCAGUAGCGGGUCUGAGAGGAUGAUCAGCCAAACUGGGACUGAGACACGGCCCAGACUCCUACGGGAGGCAGCAGUGGGGAAUUUUGGACAAUGGGCGCAAGCCUGAUCCAGCCAUGCCGCGUGUCUGAAGAAGGCCUUCGGGUUGUAAAGGACUUUUGUCCGGGAGCAAAUGCCUGGUGUUAAUAGCACUGGGAGCUGAGAGUACCGGAAGAAUAAGCACCGGCUAACUACGUGCCAGCCGCCGCGGUAAGAC